rnacentral:rRNA from 1 species
ACCGGCAACAGCCCAAAACUCAAAGGACUUGGCGGUGCUUCACACCCUUCUAGAGGAGCCUGUUCUAUAAUCGAUAAACCCCGAUAAACCUCACCAAUCCUUGCUAAUACAGUCUAUAUACCGCCAUCUUCAGCAAACCCUAAAAAGGAACAAAAGUAAGCUCAAUCAUAGCACAUAAAGACGUUAGGUCAAGGUGUAACCUAUGGAGUGGGAAGAAAUGGGCUACAUUUUCUGUUUCAAGAAAAUUUAAUACGAAAGCUAUUAUGAAACUAAUAGCCAAAGGAGGAUUUAGCAGUAAACUGAGAAUAGAGUGCUUAGUUGAAUCAGGCCAUGAAGCACGCACACACCGCCCGUCACCCUCCUCAAGCAAAUACAGGACACUUAAAACCUAUUUAAACACACCAGUCACACAAGAGGAGACAAGU